rnacentral:rRNA from 1 species
CGGUUCCAGGAAAUAGCUCCAUCGAUAUUGACCGUACCCUAAACCGACACAGGUGGACUGGUAGAGUAUACCAAGGCGCUUGAGAGAACUAUACUGAAGGAACUCGGCAAAUUGCAUGCGUAACUUCGGGAUAAGCAUGACUUCUAUCGGGGCAACCCUUUAGGAGUGGCACAAAAGAGGGGGUGGCGACUGUUUACUAAAAACACAGGGCUCUGCGAAGUUGCAAAACGACGUAUAGGGUCUGACGCCUGCCCGGUGCCGGAAGGUUAAAAGGAGGGGUUAACGCCCUGAAUUGAAGCCCCGGUAAACGGCGGCCGUAACGAUAACGGUCCUAAGGUAGCGAAAUUCCUUGUCGGGUAAGUUCCGACCUGCACGAAUGGCGUAACGACUUCCCCACUGUCUCCAGUAUAGACUCAGCGAAAUUGAAUUCCCCGUGAAGAUGCGGGGUUCCUGCGGUCAGACGGAAAGACCCCAUGCACCUUUACUAUAGCUUUACGCUGGCAUUUGUGUCGGCAUGUGCAGGAUAGGUGGUAGGCUUUGAAGCAGGGACGCUAGUUUCUGUGGAGCCGCAAGAUGAGAUACCACCCUUAUCGUCAUAGAUGUCUAACCGCGGCAUAACAGUGUCCGGGACAGCGUAUGGUGGGUAGUUUGACUGGGGCGGUCGCCUCCCAAAGAGUAACGGAGGCGCGCGAUGGUGGGCUCAGACCGGUCGGAAAUCGGUCGCUGAGUGCAAUGGCAUAAGCCUGCCUGACUGCGAGAUCGACAGAUCGAGCAGAGACGAAAGUCGGUCAUAGUGAUCCGGUGGUCCCGCGUGGAAGGGCCAUCGCUCAACGAAUAAAAGGUACGCUGGGGAUAACAGGCUGAUGAUGCCCAAGAGUCCAUAUCGACGGCAUCGUUUGGCACCUCGAUGUCGGCUCAUCACAUCCUGGGGCUGGAGCAGGUCCCAAGGGUAUGGCUGUUCGCCAUUUAAAGUGGUACGUGAGCUGGGUUUAGAACGUCGUGAGACAGUUCGGUCCCUAUCUGCCGUGGGUGUAGGAAUAUUGAGAAGAGCUGACCCUAGUACGAGAGGACCGGGUUGGACGAAUCUCUGGUGGACCUGUUGUGGCGCCAGCCGCAUUGCAGGGUAGCUAAAUUCGGACGGGAUAACUGCUGAAAGCAUCUAAGCAGGAAGCCUCCUUCAAAACUAGUAUUCCCUUGAGAGCCGUGGAAGACCACCACGUCGAUAGGCCGGGUGUGGAAGCGUAGCAAUAUGUGAAGCUUACCGGUACUAAUAGCUCGAAA